rnacentral:tRNA from 1 species
AGAGUUAUAGUUAAAUAUAACAUUUGUUUUGCAUACAAAAAGUAUUGAAUUUUUCCAAUUAACUUUA